UACGUAGGGUGCAAGCGUUGUUCGGAUUUACUGGGCGUAAAGGGCGCGUAGGCGGCCACCGCAAGUCGACUGUGAAAUCUCCGGGCUUAACCCGGAAAGGUCAGCCGAUACUGCGGGGCUAGAGUGCAGAAGGGGCAACUGGAAUUCUCGGUGUAGCGGUGAAAUGCGUAGAUAUCGAGAGGAACACCUGCGGCGAAGGCGGGUUGCUGGGCUGACACUGACGCUGAUGCGCGAAAGCUAGGGGAGCGAACGGG
rnacentral:rRNA from 1 species